GCGUGGCUUAGGGCAGGCGGGGCCAGAAGCGGAUCCUUAUUGAUAGACCCGUCAGAAAAUAGAAGUCACAAAAGAAACCACACCCCAAAAUUUGGAAAGACCGGCAAAUACUGAAAAUCAUGGCAGGAAGCCAGCUGCCAUGUUGUGAGCUGUCCAUGUGGAAAGAAUUGAUGUGUCCAGACAAAAGCCAGCAAGGACCCCAACCCAGCCAACAGUUUAAAUGAGUGCGUCUGCAAGAUGAUUAUCCUCCCAUGAAGCCUUCAGGUGAAUGUCGCACUGGCUAACAACCUGCCUGCAGCCUUGUGGGAAUUGAGGAACCCAGCUAAGCCACACCUGGACUCCUUACCCAAAGAGUGAGAUAAUAAACAUGUUUGUUUU